CCUACGGGGGGCAGCAGUGGGGAAUAUUGGGCAAUGGGCGCAAGCCUGACCCAGCAACGCCGCGUGAAGGAAGAAGGCUCUCGGGUUGUAAACUUCUUUUAAGAGGGAAGAGCAGAAGACGGUACCUCUUGAAUAAGCCACGGCUAACUACGUGCCAGCAGCCGGGGCAAUACGUAGGUGGCAGGCGUUGUCCGGAUUUACUGGGUGUAAAGGGCGUGCAGCCGGGAAGACAAGUCAGAUGGGAAAUCCCGCGGCUCAACCGCGGAACGGCAGUUGAAACUGUUUUUCUUGAGUGCCGGAGAGGUCAGCGGAAUGCCGUGUGUAGCGGUGAAAUGCGUAGGUAUAAGGGAGGACACCAGUGGCGAAGGCGGAUGACUGGACGGCAACUGACGGUGGGGCGCGAAAGCGUGGGGAGCAAACAGGAAUAGAUACCCGUGUAGUC
rnacentral:rRNA from 1 species